UUAGAAUGUGAACUCCUUAAGAG
rnacentral:miRNA from 1 species